AAGUGUCUUGAUGGAAGAUGAGGAAGUCGCUUUGAUCCAACUCAUGACCAGUUUAUCCUUGGCUAACUAUGGGUGCACAGAUCCAUCUUCUUGCACUUCGGGUGGGUCUAUGUUGUUCUUGACGACUGCUGCAAGGCCAUGUCUCCAAUACAUCUUCAAAUUGGGAUUUCCAACUCAAGUAGUUGGUAUGAUCCAUAAGAACUGGGAACAACGAUGAGAUAUUGAAAGAGGUGGGCAGACAAUGGGAUGAGAAUGGAGGUGAGGAAAGUUUUGACAUUUCAGAAACCAGUUUUGACAUAUCAAUAUUGCUUGAUUCUCCAAUUUAGGUGUGUUGGACAUUGGUUUGGAUAGGAUCAAUAUUUUGAGGGUUAGCUCCGAAGAGCUCUGAUACCAUAUAAGAGAAUGAACUCAAUAUAAGAGAAUGAACUCAAGAGGAAGAGAGAGGGAUGAGAACAGAGAGAUUAAGAACAAUUGCCACAAUCAAGAUGAUUCGUUCUCUGUAUUAUAUGAAGUAUAAAUAUUGGUACAUGGGUUAGACUUUCUCAAGUCUAUUUACAGAAACUUAGCGAUAUAAGGUAAGUCCAAUCAAUUACAUAUAUUACAGAGGAAUUGACAAUUAAUCAUUCUGGCUGAUGAAUGCCAUGCUUGUGGUUAGGAGGCUUCUAAGGCUGAUGUAAUGGGAUCAGCUGAUUUCAUGGGACUGACAGAUUGGAUGGGAUUUGCCGGUGUAGUAUUCUCUUUAAAAACUAUGUUUGCUGCUUCCAUUUCUAGCAGCAACAAACCAAAGAAAAACAAAACAAGCCUGAGACUGAGAUAAUGAGAAUGGUUGGAUUUGGAAAUGGAAUGGAUUUGAACAAGUGAAAAACUUCAAUUUGGUUGAUGAGACCCUUGAAGAUGAAUCACUAUCGAUGGUAGCUUGAAUGUAUCUUUCAUUUUAUCAUAUCUUUCCUUCUUUUUUCUUUUUUCUUUUCUGGAAAUCAGAGCCCCUCCAGUUCCUUAGACAAUGUAGUAAUUCAAUAUAACACAGUUCUCUUUUUAUUGAAUGACAAAAGAGGAACAUGUAGAGCGUCAGUGAAGAACACCCACCAAGAAUAGCGUCAACUUUGAUUGGAGCUAGCUGAAACCAUAAUGCACUGCAGCAAUAGCAUUGUCAUUUGGUUUCCCAUACCAUCACUUAUCAGCACCCACUGAAGGUCGUACACCUGCUCGAUUUACUUGCCUAGUUGGCUUGCCUCAACCUCAGCCUCUUUCAGUUAUGUUCACUAAUGAACAGUACAAUGACAUUUUUGCCAUGAUGACCAACGACAUACCCCUUUUUCCCUGUUCGCUUCUCUUUGGAGAAACCAAAGUGCUUUACCUCUCAAACCCGCGUGCCGCGUUCACCGAAGAGAAGUGCGAGAGCGAGAGGCCUCAGAGAUCAUAGUCGUCUUCUCUAAUUCUCAGACAUGGGUACUUUCAAGCCAUCUUUCCAGCUGCACUUCAUCCUUCUUCUCAUCGCAGGGUUUAGCUCAAAGGGAUUUCUAGGUUUCGUAAAAAAAGGGAGGAAGAUCUAAGGAAAAAGAACUGGAGUAUCAAUCUGAGAACCCCCAGUCUGCUCAUCAAUCUGCGUCCCCUUUUUGGAGUCUCUCUUUGACCUUGAAGAUGCAUAAGGAUUGAUACUCAAUCAAAUACAAGGCGAUUUCAAUCCCUCUUUCGUUAUCUUCUUGAGGAUGCUGCUUUGGAGCCCAAACGGUUGAAUAAAAUCCCUGUACAGGCCUGAGUUAUUGGGUAUUAUUGUUGGAAUUGUUUUCUUGGUCUUGGAAAAUCUUAUUCCAGUAUUUCAACUUCACUGCAGAUUCAAAUAUUUGAAACCCCUACAAAGAACAAGAAAGAACAGAAGCCACCUUUAUAGCAGAGCCAACAAGAGAUGGAUCCCUUUCCAAUAGACAUCAAAGCAUAAUAAUCCCCUUCCACCACCCAGUAGCAUGUAUAUAAAGACCGGUCCAAACUCUUUUGAACAAUGAGUAGCUCAAAACUGCUGAUAGUUUGGUGUUUUGAUUGCUGCUUGGUUUAUUAAAAUAUGGUCAAUAUUUUGACAUGACAAGCAGCAUAUAAAACAUGUUAUUAGUGUAUUUUUGUAACUUGCUAAACAAAGCAUGAUGCCACUGUUUAGAUCUCCAUGUUUAUAUAAAUAGUACCAUCUCACAUUUCACAGUGUUAAAACCCGCAGCAUCGUGUGGGCACCUUUGCUAGUGAAAACUAAGAAUUGAAAACAAUUUUAAGU